UUUUAAAAACUUAAGACGUAAAAUUAAUUAAAAUAGUUUAUAGAAAACAUAACUAAUGUAUUAUUAAAACAUAUUGUGAUGCAGAAAUAAUUAAAUUUGAACAUCUGGUAUAGUUUGUUCGAUUGGCUACUACGCUUGGCGAAUCAAAGACAGCUAUCUUUAAAUUGAAUAUUACCAAGAACAGGGUGAAUUUAAAUGUUGAUAUAUAUAUAAUUAUUGCGAUAUCUUAAGGCUUUUAUGGAAGCAAUAGAGUGACAAGAAUGUUCUUAAAUAAUGCCAUUUUGGCAAACUUAAUAUGCCCUGGAAUAAUAUAAAAUGGGACAAGAAUGGAAUUUUCAAUAAUUCAUCCGAUCAAUCAAAAAUAAAUUUUCCAGUUGCCAUUUACAGUAAGGAUGGUGCCAAUUUUUUGUAACAUAUUGAAUAAACAAUUGUCUCUUAGGUUAAUAUUAUUAAUAAAAUAUUAAUAAAUAUUAUU